GACGAACGCUGGCGGCGUGCUUAACACAUGCAAGUCGAACGGAAAGGCCCUGCUUGCAGGGUACUCGAGUGGCGAACGGGUGAGUAACACGUGGGUGAUCUGCCCUGCACUUCGGGAUAAGCCUGGGAAACUGGGUCUAAUACCGGAUAGGAGCCAUUUUUAGUGUGAUGGUUGGAAAGUUUUUUCGGUGUAGGAUGAGCUCGCGGCCUAUCAGCUUGUUGGUGGGGUAAUGGCCUACCAAGGCGGCGACGGGUAGCCGGCCUGAGAGGGUGGACGGCCACAUUGGGACUGAGAUACGGCACAGACUCCUACGGGAGGCAGCAGUGGGGAAUAUUGCACAAUGGGCGCAAGCCUUAUGCAGCGACGCCGCGUGGGGGAUGACGGCCUUCGGGUUGUAAACUCCUUUCGCUAGGGACGAAGCUUUUUGUGACGGUACCUAGAGAAGAAGCACCGGCUAACUACGUG
rnacentral:rRNA from 1 species